rnacentral:rRNA from 1 species
GAAUGUGUGGUGUAGCGGUGAAAUGCUUAGAUAUCACACAGAACACCGAUUGCGAAGGCAGCACANUAAGUCAUUAUUGACGCUGAGGCACGAAAGUGUGGGGAUCAAACAGGAUUAGAUACCCUGGUAGUCCACACUGUAAACGAUGAUAACUCGCUGUCGGCGAUACACAGUCGGUGGCCAAGCGAAAGCAUUAAGUUAUCCACCUGGGGAGUACGACCGCAAGGUUGAAACUCAAAGGAAUUGACGGGGGCCCGCACAAGCGGAGGAACAUGUGGUUUAAUUCGAUGAUACGCGAGGAACCUUACCCGGGCUCGAACGGUGCAUGAAUAUACGAGAGAUUGUAUAGUCCUUCGGGACAUGUAUCGAGGUGCUGCAUGGUUGUCGUCAGCUCGUGCCGUGAGGUGUCGGCUUAAGUGCCAUAACGAGCGCAACCCUUGUCAUUAGUUGCCAUCAGGUCAAGCUGGGGACUUUAAUGAGACUGCCACCGUAAGGUGUGAGGAAGGGGGGGAUGACGUCAAAUCAGCACGGCCCUUAUGUCCGGGGCGACACACGUGUUACAAUGGGAGGUACAGAGGGCAGCUAUCCGGUGACGGAAUGCUAAUCUCCAAAACCUUUCUCAGUUCGGAUUGGAGUCUGCAACUCGACUCCAUGAAGGUGGAUUCGCUAGUAAUCGCGCAUCAGCCAUGGCGCGGUGAAUACGUUCCCGGGCCUUGUACACACCGCCCGUCAAGCCAUGGAAGCUUGGGGUGCCUGAAGUUCGUGACCGCAAGGAGCGACCUAAGGCAAAACAGGUAACUGGGGCUAAGUCGUAAACAAGGUAACCCUAAAGGGCGAAUUCNUAACUCG